AUUGAACGCUGGCGGCAUGCUUUACACAUGCAAGUCGAACGGUAACAGGCCGCAAGGUGCUGACGAGUGGCGAACGGGUGAGUAAUGCAUCGGAACGUGCCCAGUCGUGGGGGAUAACUACUCGAAAGAGUAGCUAAUACCGCAUACGAUCUAUGGAUGAAAGCGGGGGACCGUAAGGCCUCGCGCGAUUGGAGCGGCCGAUGUCAGCUUAGUUAGUUGGUGGGGUAAAGGCUGACCAAGCCAACGAUCUGUAGCUGGUCUGAGAGGACGACCGGCGACACUGGGACUGAGACACGGCCCAGACUCCUACGGGAGGCAGCAGUGGGGAAUGUUGGACAAUGGGCGCAAGCCUGAUCCAGCAAGGCCGCGUGCAGGAAGAAGGCCUUCGGGUUGUAAACUGCUUUUGUACGGAACGAAACGGCUCUGGUUAAUACCCGGGGCUAAUGACGGUACCGUAAGAAUAAGCACCGGCUAACUACGUG
rnacentral:rRNA from 1 species